UGGGGAAUUUUGGACAAUGGGCGAAAGCCUGAUCCAGCAAUGCCGCGUGUGUGAAGAAGGCCUUCGGGUUGUAAAGCACUUUUGUCCGGAAAGAAAUCCUUGGCUCUAAUACAGUCGGGGGAUGGCGGUACCGGAAGAAUAAGCACCGGCUAACUACGUGCCAGCAGCCGCGGUAAUACGUAGGGUGCAAGCGUUAAUCGGAAUUACUGGGCGUAAAGCGUGCGCAGGCGGUUUGCUAAGACCGAUGUGAAAUCCCCGGGCUCAACCUGGGAACUGCAUUGGUGACUGGCAGGCUAGAGUAUGGCAGAGGGGGGUAGAAUUCCACGUGUAGCAGUGAAAUGCGUAGAGAUGUGGAGGAAUACCGAUGGCGAAGGCAGCCCCCUGGGCCAAUACUGACGCUCAUGCACGAAAGCGUGGGGAGCAAACAGGAUUAGAUACCCUGGUAGUCCACGCCCUAAACGAUGUCAACUAGUUGUUGGGGAUUCAUUUCCUUAGUAACGUAGCUAACGCGUGAAGUUGACCGCCUGGGGAGUACGGUCGCAAGAUUAAAACUCAAAGGAAUUGACGGGGUCAUAGCUG
rnacentral:rRNA from 1 species